GUGCCAUUAGCUUAACAGUAAAGCAAUCGCCUUUUAAGCGAUAGAGCGUGGGAGCGUCACCCACAUGGCACACCA
rnacentral:tRNA from 1 species